CAGUAGCCGCGGUAAUACGUAGGGUGCGAGCGUUAAUCGGAAUUACUGGGCGUAAAACGUGCGCAGGCGGUUGUGUAAGACAGGUGUGAAAUCCCCGGGCUUAACCUGGGAACUGCGCUUGUGACUGCACAGCUAGAGUAUGGCAGAGGGGGGUGGAAUUCCACGUGUAGCAGUGGAAUGCGUAGAGAUGUGGAGGAACACCGAUGGCGAAGGCAGCCCCCUGGGCCAAUACUGACGCUCAUGCACGAAAGCGUGGGGAGCAAACAGGAUUAGAUACCCGCGUAGUCCCUGUCUCUUAUAC
rnacentral:rRNA from 1 species